rnacentral:lncRNA from 1 species
AGCAAAUCCAUGAAUACUAUAGCUUCUGUUGCCUUGCUUCGUUAGGUUUUCUUUUCCCUAGUAAUCGUGAUGGGGUGACUUCCUGCUGAGAGGUCCACUUAAGAUGAUGACAAAACCUGUCUCUUUGCAGCUGUCUUUAAUAUUGUCAACGUGUUCCUAAGCAGACCGACUGGUGUGUUGGCAAACAUCAGCGGCAGGAGAUCUCCAGCCCCUGAGAGCUAGAGACGCCUCCCCACAAAGCAUAAAAAAUAGGACUUUGCCAGAUGGCAGAUGUCUUUUUGGUUAGCAAUGUCAUGCCGUAUUUUGAACGAAGAGAUGACAGGGGGAGGAGUCGUUGAGAACAGCUUUUUCAAGUCACACCAAGGCAUGCAAUACGGGGUCUUGGAACGCAGGAGGAAGUCUUAUGGAGCUGAAAAGAGCUACUGAUUACCUAACCCUGUUCUGCACGUUAUCGUCUGAAUCUGACUGAGCACUGACUGAAUCUGCUGAGCAUCCUGCACCACCCGAUACUGCCUAGGGGAGAAGGAAGACUCAGGUUCUCAGGGAGCUGAUGAUCAAUCUGUGCCUUGGCUGGCCUGCCACCCAUCUCUGAGUCCCUCGUCCUUGCCAGGCGGCCCUGCGGAAGGGGCUCACCGCGAGCCAGGAGCAGACACCCUCUCGCCCUCUUGGGAAAGCGGAUCAGGCCGGCUUCUGGGGCGCUCCCUGCACCCCGCCACCUUCUGGGACCUCCGCUGAGAGCCGCGCUUGGGGCACCGCCGGGCCAGCCUCCAACCCCGCCCCCGACAAGGCAGAGCCCGAGACACA